rnacentral:rRNA from 1 species
UUUAUGGAGAGUUUGAUCCUGGCUCAGGAUGAACGCUGGCGGCGUGCCUAAUACAUGCAAGUCGAGCGAACGGACGAGAAGCUUGCUUCUCUGAUGUUAGCGGCGGACGGGUGAGUAACACGUGGAUAACCUACCUAUAAGACUGGGAUAACUUCGGGAAACCGGAGCUAAUACCGGAUAAUAUUUUGAACCGCAUGGUUCAAAAGUGAAAGACGGUCUUGCUGUCACUUAUAGAUGGAUCCGCGCUGCAUUAGCUAGUUGGUAAGGUAACGGCUUACCAAGGCAACGAUGCAUAGCCGACCUGAGAGGGUGAUCGGCCACACUGGAACUGAGACACGGUCCAGACUCCUACGGGAGGCAGCAGUAGGGAAUCUUCCGCAAUGGGCGAAAGCCUGACGGAGCAACGCCGCGUGAGUGAUGAAGGUCUUCGGAUCGUAAAACUCUGUUAUUAGGGAAGAACAUAUGUGUAAGUAACUGUGCACAUCUUGACGGUACCUAAUCAGAAAGCCACGGCUAACUACGUGCCAGCAGCCGCGGUAAUACGUAGGUGGCAAGCGUUAUCCGGAAUUAUUGGGCGUAAAGCGCGCGUAGGCGGUUUUUUAAGUCUGAUGUGAAAGCCCACGGCUCAACCGUGGAGGGUCAUUGGAAACUGGAAAACUUGAGUGCAGAAGAGGAAAGUGGAAUUCCAUGUGUAGCGGUGAAAUGCGCAGAGAUAUGGAGGAACACCAGUGGCGAAGGCGACUUUCUGGUCUGUAACUGACGCUGAUGUGCGAAAGCGUGGGGAUCAAACAGGAUUAGAUACCCUGGUAGU